AGCGAACGCUGGCGGCAGGCCUAACACAUGCAAGUCGAACGAACCUUUCGGGGUUAGUGGCGGACGGGUGAGUAACACGUGGGAACGUGCCUUUAGGUUCGGAAUAACUCAGGGAAACUUGUGCUAAUACCGGAUGUGCCCUUCGGGGGAAAGAUUAAUCGCCUUUAGAGCGGCCCGCGUUUGAUUAGCUAGUUGGUUGAGGUAAUGGCUCACCAGGGCGACGAUCAGUAGCUGGUCUGAGAGGAUGAUCAGCCACAUUGGGACUGAGACACGGCCCAAACUCCUACGGGAGGCAGCAGUGGGGAAUCUUGCGCAAUGGGCGAAAGCCUGACGCAGCCAUGCCGCGUGAAUGAUGAAGGUCUUAGGAUUGUAAAAUUCUUUCACCGGGGACGAUAAUGACGGUACCCGGAGAAGAAGCCCCGGCUAACUUCGUG
rnacentral:rRNA from 1 species